UCUGUCUGUGUGUGUGUCUGUCUGUGAGUGUGUCUGUGUCUGUCAGUGUGUGUGUCUGUCUGUCUGUGAGUGUCUGAGUGUGUGUAUGUGUCUGUCAGUUGGUGUGUGUGUCUGUCAGUGUCUGUGUGUAUGGGUCAGUGUUGCAUUGGCUGCGACUGGACAGUGGAGUACCUGGAGGUGCAUGGAGGCACGCAACGCCACGUCACAUUCCGACGUGACAUCAACAUGCUCCACCUUCACAGGGUUUCAAGAAGUAGCGGGAGGAUCAGAUUUGGCACAGGGUGCAGACGGCGCCAUUUGGGUUAUACCAGAGGCCGGACUCUGGAGUCACAUACUGGCAGCGGCAAUGUGAGUGGAGUCUGCUUGUUGGCUAGAGGGGGGUGCUGGG